AUCUAACUUUCUAGAAGCUUCCAUCACCAAUAUUGCAGUAAAUAUUUUCAAUCGAGGGCAAGCAUGCCACCCUUAAACAGCUCACCUUUGAGUUAGUAUCUUACGGUCAUCUUUUCAUAGCCAUAUAGGCAUCCUGAUGCACUUUUAAGUCUCUGCUUAAGCUAUCUCGUCCCAGAAUGCCCUUCGUCAGUUGUUCAGCAACUUAUUAAAGAAAUCUUAGACUACUUUAAGUUCCUUCCUGUAACAGUGUCAUGGCGAGCAUUUGUGUAUUUGUUAAAACCUUUUCUUCAAGUAUCCAUGCACUCAGAUACUGACGUCGGUAGAGUGAAUACUUUUGUAAGCCACUGUGUCAGAAGUACAGUCAAAGUUCUGUCACUGAACCAAGAGCUUCUCCAGCCCUGCGUAAAAACCUGGAUGUUUUAAUCACUUCAUUUUAGCAUCUCUUUAGCAUCGGAGACUGGCUUGCUGUAUGGGAGAGAGUCUGGCAGUGACUAAUUCAGUGUUCCAAACAUGGCAUUCCUCUCACUGCUUUCUGCUUUACAUGUAAUGAUGAUAAGGAAUUGCUUCAAAAUCAGCACAGAGAGCAAACUUAUGAAUACAAUACAAGAGCCACCAUUUCUCCAUCUGUGGCAUACGUCCUCGUGCCCACACGAUUCAACUCAGCACACAUGACCUGAGCACCUACUGUGUGCCUGGCCGUGCACAGUGUGAUAGCUGUGAAUAGUACAAAUUUCCAAAUCAGAGAGCUCAGUUUCUUGAUAUUUCUACACGGACACACUGUACAGGGUAAGAAGUUAAGGAUUUGUUUCCUAAGAAUCCCUUAAAUUUGAAUAAUUAUGGAAAACAUUGACACCCCCCACCUUGGCUAGAAUAGGGGGAGAAGGAACGUGCUGGAAGAGGCUCUCCAAUAACAAAUGAAAGGCAGCUGUCAAAAUAGACUCAAAUAGCACACUCAUAAACUGCUUGCGCAAUCAGAAAAUAUUAUCCUUUUUCUAGGGAGAAAUAGGACAUUUCUCUACAGUAAGCAAAAUGUAACUUUUUGAAGGGUCAAUACACUUGACAUUUUUAUGUUACUUAUACAGACAGAACUGAACAAACAUUAAUGUGGCUUUCACAGUCAUGGGUAUAAUUUUCAGGAUGAUGAAAAGCACAGACUAUGCCCGUGGAAUUUAAAGAAUUAAACAGAAUGUGCCUGUGAAACAUGACUUUAGACAUGUACUACAUGAGAUGGUUUAGCCAUGGCUGUUCACAUGUAAUAUCACUGUAUCAGUAAAGCGAUUUAAUAAACACUCGACACAGU
rnacentral:lncRNA from 1 species